GGAGGAGGAGGGGGAGGGGAGGAAGCUCCACUGUAUCCGGGUCACGCCGGGAGCCGCCUCCAGCGGCACCGGGACCGGGAUCGGGACCGGGAAAGGGUUCGGAUUUGGGAAAUUUUUUUUGGAGGGGGAAUCCCCCAAAAAUUUGGGAUGCAGGAGAAUUAUGAGAACGUCAUUUCCUUGGCCGAGGAAAUCGCUAUCAGUUGGCCCCGGAUCACCGCGUUCGCCGAAUCCCA